rnacentral:ncRNA from 1 species
GACAGGGGAGCUUGUGUUGCAGGCUGAGAGGAAGUCGAAAACUUCUACCCUUAUCACCUGAUGUGGGUAAUGCCAACGUAGGGAGCACGAUUUGUA